UUCUUUCAAAAAUCCACAUGCACACUAUAUAUAAACAAGCCUAGCUCCACGAUUUACAAUAGACUAACUGAGAUAAAUAAUAUGUGGAAUAUAGAACAAGCUAUUUAUAUAUUUUGCUCAUUGAUUAAUUAUAGGCCACUCAAAAGUUGUCACAUAUAAAAGAUUUAUCUAAAAAUUAUAAUAAGCUAGCUAGUGAUAUCAGAAACCCUAAUACCUUCAUGUAGACCUCAGCUAAACUAAAAGAUCCAAAUAUUGUAUAUAAACAUAUACAUUCCUAGUAAUAUAUAACAAAUAAAAAAGACUAGGACUAAUUCAGAAAAAAGUUCCUCCUCCUCCUCCUUCAUUUAUCUGAAUUAAACGCAGUGACUUCGAUCAAACACAUCACAUUUCUACUCUAAGUACAUCAUUAAUUGCCAAAAAUCUCCAAUAAAUUCAUGCAGCAGGAGCAUAAUCAUAGUCUGCAUCAUCGUCAUCGCCUUCUAAGGAUGGUGCGGGAGCAUAAUCAUAAUCUCUAUCAUCAUCAUCUCCAUCUGAACAUGACCUUCUCUUCUGAAAUCUUGUGAUCUUGAAAAUGCCUGACAUUGUGUAUAUAUAUUCUUGAAAUAUAUAUGAUAUAUUGUAUGUUGUAUAUAUCUCUUUGAUAUGAUAUGAUCAAGAAUAUAUGGUUUUUG
rnacentral:lncRNA from 1 species